GGGGAAAGCUCCGAGCGGUGCGUGUGGAGGGUGCAAGUGCGUGCAAGUGGACUGGCAUACCUAAUUGUGCUGUCAGCCAAAGCCCACCAAGUUCAUCAUGUAAAGUCACACGCCUGAAUCUUCUUGAUUUGCCAAGAUGAGCAAUCAGAAGAAAAGAAAAUAUAUGGAACUUGCUUGUACCUGGAGUUUAUUGUCUGGAGAGAAUGGUGAGUAAUUGAAUGAAGUAAGAAAGGGUAUAUACUAGGUAAGCCUAUUCAUUCUCUUUCUCCUGUUUCUUUUCCUCAUACCCUUUGAGAUUCUUCUGAAACUUUAAAAUUUUGUUAGAUGUGAAUUACUUGGAUAUAGUAUUUACCCAUUAAUCUCUUGAAACUGUCUCCACAAUUUUUGUGUUGCCUAAAAUAAGGAUAAAGAAAGACAGAGAAGAAGCAAUUGUGGUUUCUGUUGUUUUCCAUAAUCCCCCAAACAUUUACAAUUAUAAAAGACUCCAAGUCUCUUCCUUUAAUGUAACUAUAGCUUUUCACAGGAGACAGCACAGAAGAACAAAGAGUGAAGAUUGCUGGAGUCCUUCCUCUUGUGGCUGAUUCCUGAAAUCCAAGGAAUGUUUAGUUGUGGGGAAUAGAAACCAGUUAUUCUCAACAGACCACUCACUUGCCUGCUCAUUUCUGUGACAGUCUAAUGUCUGCCCAUCCAUACCCUGCUUCUUCACAUUCACCUGUUAGCACCCAUCUAGUCACAACUUCUUCCCAACUCUAAGUCUUACUCUUGCUUUUAAAAGUGUGCAAGAAGUAAACAAUUAUAGGAAUGUGGAGCUGGGUGUGUGUUUGUGUAUUCUUAUUUAUAUAUCUAUAUGUAAAGUAUCUGGAUUGAGUGUGUGUAAAAUAUGUAUUUGAAUGUAAGUCAUCAUAUAUAUCUUACAUAUCUAUCAAAUUAAUAUUCAGCAAAGCCCUGUUCUUUCCCAUUAGCAAGUUAGGCUCAACGGAAGCCACAACAGAAGCAAGAGGGUAAUAUUCAGUGGAAAGAAAAUAGCAGAAAACAAUCGCUUCAAAUAAUGUAUGUAUCUUUAAGCUCAUGCCUAAAAUUUUCCUUAUUGAUGAUAUAAAUUAAAAUAUCCACAGCUAAAUAUAUGCAUAAGGGAAAUUCUUUUUUUUAAGAGACAGGAUCUCACUCUGUCAGUCAGGCUAGAGUGCAGUGAUGCAAUCACAGUUCACUACAGCCUUGACCUCCCAGACUCAAGUGAUCCUCCUGGCUCAGCCUCCCAAGUAUCUGGGAACACAAGUGCACACCACUAUACUUGGCUAAUUUUUUAUCUUUUGUAGAGACAAGGUCUCCUUGUGUUGCCCAGGCUGGUCUCAAACUCCUGGGCUCAAGUGAUCCUCCCACCUUAGACUCCCAAAGCGCUGGGAUUACAGGUGCGAGCCACUGUGCCCAGCUGGGAAAUUCUUAUGUUUUACUUUAUGUUGCAUAUUAGCUAUAAAAUACCUUUGUGGGUAAGUUAGAAAAGAUGUGAGAUGAUUUACUUUCUUUGUUGUAUUUCUGUUUGGGGAGCAGCAUGAAUGGCUGUUGCAGUGUGGCAAAAUUUCUGUGCAUUUCAGGUUUUGGUAUAAAGGUAUAUUUGUGCUACUCCUAACUUUAACUCUUUC